rfam:Acidobacteria bacterium 13_2_20CM_58_27 13_2_20cm_scaffold_62, whole genome shotgun sequence.
UCACCCGCGGCUUACACUGAAUUUUCAAUUGGCAGCCGGGGAAGCGGGGAAGGCCGUGCGAAUCGGCCGCGGUCCCGCCACUGUGAUCGGCUUGAAGCAGCCGUAAGCCAGGCCACCCUCCCUUGGCGCAGCGGCCCG